rnacentral:rRNA from 1 species
UGGCGGACGGGUGAGUAACGCGUGGAAAACCUGCCGUAUACUGGGGGAUAACACUUAGAAAUAGGUGCUAAUACCGCAUAAGCGCACAGCUUCGCAUGAAGCGGUGUGAAAAACUCUGGUGGUAUACGAUGGUUCCGCGUCUGAUUAGCUAGUUGGUGGGGUAAUGGCCUACCAAGGCAACGAUCAGUAGCCGGCCUGAGAGGGUGAAUGGCCACAUUGGGACUGAGACACGGCCCAAACUCCUACGGAAGGCAGCAG